CUGAAGGAGUCUUCUGCAGAGGACAAAGUGUGGACUUCAUUUCAUCACCAUUCAAUUCAGGACAAGGAAACUGAGACUGAGACUGGGUGAUGAGUGGUAACUGCUCACAAACUGGUCUUCUGUGUUUACAGGUGGUCCCUGUCAUGAAAUACAUUGUAUUAUUCUAUCAUCUUUAUCAUAUAACUCCUGUCACCCCCGUCCUAGUUUUUUAACAAGGUUGGCGUGAAGGAGGGGGAUCAGUGUCAGCCUACCUACGUCUACCCUAAAGAGGUGAAGAUGUUGAUACGGUCUGCCUUUCCAGAGGACAUCUGUGACUAUCCAGAUCCCUGCCAUGAUAAGAUCCACUGUAAAGAGGGGAAAACGGGAAGACCUAGAAAUGUUCU
ensembl:lncRNA